CUGGCCGGCGGCCGGCUGCAGGGAGGGAGCGGCGGUCAGAGGGCUCGGGCGGCGCGCACGCCCCUCGGCGCCGCCCAGGCCUCUCCUGCGGCCCCGGGGCCCUCCCCAGGGUCAGCCGGCCGCGGCUGGGGGCUCCCGGCGCUUACCCGGCUGCAGAGGGCGAGGAGGAGCACGAAGGCGAGGCGGACGGGGCCCGCGCCGGCGGCGGACAUGGUCGGGGCGCGGCGGACGGAGUGCGCGGCGGCGGCGGGGUAGUAACAUGAAGAAGUGACUGACAGAACCUAAUUUCCUGCUCUGAAAAUGUAAGAAAGAGGCAUACCUGACAAGGAAGUUCGUGUAACUUGAUAAUGUGUGUCAAAGCCUCCCCCCAAAUCCUUGAAGGCGAAGAGGUAUCCCCUGGACAUCCAAUGAUGUAUGAAUACAUUUGCAAAUAUCUGAUUUCCCUCAAGAUCUGUCCGAUGCACUGUGAUGACCCAGUUUCUCAGGACUCCUGUCAUGUCUGAGUGGAGACAUUCUUGGUCACGCAGUCAGUUAGUCGUCUGUCCUCUCUGGUUCCAUGGCACAUCAUCACAUCACGGUUAUGCAUGCACCUUGGGAGAGAAAGAUGAGAACCUGAAUUCAGAGUAGUCAAGUUAUGGCCUCAACAUCACACAGCCUGAAAGAGGAGGAUCCAGGAUUUGAACACAAGUGGUCCUCAUUGGAGAUUUUUCCCGUGUCAAGUCUCCAGCCCAGGCUCCAGACCAGACCAAUGACACUGCUCCUCUAUGAUUUUCAAAAUGCCAGCCAUCAUCAGUGAAGAACCCUUGGUGCCAGAGAUGUUGUAGCUUGUCUUCUAUCAAACCACAGGACUUAUUCUUUAAAUGUUAGAAGACGUGUCUUAUCUCUCUAGUUAGAUUACAAAUCCCUUAAGGACAAGAACUGAGUCUGUUUCUUUGGUUUUCAAACCAAGUGUUACGAAUAGUGGCAUUUUUCAACUAAAUUUUGGCUCAAAAAUUUUAAAGCCAAACAUUGAAGGCAAGCGUAUGAUGAUGAGAGGCCACACCCAGCCAAUGGGCAGCCCCUUGGUGACCUUUGAUCUAACUUUAAACUUAGAAAAAUUCACUUAGAAAAUUUCUCUAAAAUCAGUUUGGAGCGUUUUGCCAAGCACUAAAAAUAAGCAAAGAUAAAAUUUCCCAGUGAAUUACACCUGGUAAAGAUAAGAAUUGUUUGGGGAAACUUUUUAGUGUGCAUGCAUUGGGGUCAUAAUCAAAAGUUUGAAAAUCAUUGCCCUACAGUAUAAGUACACAAUAGAUGCUUGGUUUAGGUCAUUUAAGUUGUCAAAAGAAGAGCUGAGGUAGAAAUUAGGAAAGAAGCCUCUUUGUACAAUUAUGAGGGUCUUUUUGUGGCUAUUGCUCCUUGGCCUGUCAGUCUGAGUAUGAGGUGUAAGCAGUCCCUUAGGUUGCUUCAUGAGCCUGGUUGAGUACCUCGUUCCCUCAUUCAGAACAUUCAGAUGAACCACAGGCUCUCUGAUGGCAUCCAAAUGCUGAUGUAAGUCUCAGGGCGAAUACAACCUAUCAACCCUAUGAUGGGUUUUCAGUCACCCAAAUGGGAAGUUAACUAUUAUUGACGUAAACUGCUAAGUUCAACUACCUUCAAUUUUUUAACAAAUAUUCAUGUAGUACCUCCUCUGUGCCAGGAUUGUGUGGACUGAAGAUACAGAGUUAAAUCAGACACAGGUUACAUCUUAGAAGAGCUUAUGGUCUAAUACAGGGGUUGGCAAACUAUAGCCCAUGGGUAAAAUCUGGCCCACAGCUUGUUCAUAUAAGCAAAGUUUUAUUGUAAUUCUGCCAUGCUCAUUUGUGUACGUAUUGUCUAUGGGUGGUUUUGCACAGCCACACACAGUUGAAUGGUUGUAAAUGGGCCACAGAUCCUAAAUAUUUACUAUCUGGCCCUUCACAGAAAAAGUUUGCCAAUCUCAUCUGAUAAAACAUCAAAAAUUGUUUAAAAUAACAUUUUUUCUAUGAGAUUUCCAUAUGCAAAAGUGACAAAUAUAUCAAGAGCAAUGUAAUAUUUUUCUUAUUUUUAUGACUAAACAUCACAGAUUACUGGUCUGAUGGGGCAGCCUUAAGAGGAUUCAAGAAGUGACCCCUUUUGAAAAUUUCGAGAAAAACAUAGUGAUCUUAAUGAAAUGACAUUUCCUGUUUUUCCUCCUUACGCAUACAUAAUCAUGCUGACCAGAGCUUUGGAUGUCUGAUUGUAAAGUGCCAAUAUUAUCACAAAAAAAUUACAGCUCUAAAUCAGCUGAAUAUUAGAUCAGAGGUCACCAAGGGGCUGACUACUGGCUGGGUGUGGCACAUCACCAUCAUAUGCUUGGCCUCAAUGCUUGACCUUAAAACUAUUGAGCCAAAAUUUAUUUGUGAAAUUAACUUUAUAUUAAAAUCUAGGUCUCCCAUUUCUCUUGAAAAGUCACAUUUGGCAGCACUAGGCCUCUAUUCCUGCAUGAUGACAACUCAUCGGAGUAGGAAGGAGCUUCCAGCAUAUGUGCUCCAGAUUACCCCAGUCCCUACCACGCCCAAAUGUUUCCCUGACUCAAGGUUAAGUGUUAGUUCCCAUUCACAACCUGCUUACACUGUCAUUUUUCUCAGUUAAAAAAAAACUCUCUGUAAUCAUUCUCUUUUAAAAGUGGGUCAACAAAAGGUUGACCAAGAUUAGGUUAAAACAAUGAGUUUUCUUACAUAUUUAAUAUGCAAGCCAAGGGUAUGCAAUCUGCAGCUGCUUUACUACCUUAUAUUCUUUCCUAGCUCCUGAAGUUAUGAUAGUUUGAGACUAAUGUCUUAGACCCAUAAAGAAAAGCAUAUGGACAGGUCCUAGAAUUUGUUUUAGUGAUUCAGGCAUGUGAUGAAGCAAGUUUGGAGACCAUAGUCUUGGGAACCCAGAAGAGAUCUGGUUGCUCAUCACAUCCAAAUCUUCAUUCCACAUACAAAGCAUCUGAAGGCCCUAAGGUGGAACAAUCUUAUCAAUGGCACAGGCAUGUCAGCCACAGAGGCCAUCUCUCCUAAAUCCCACUCCAGCACUCUUGAGAAAACAAGACCAAUAUGGUGUGUGAUAAAUAAUUCCCCUAAAAUAGCUGGACAGCUUGUGGGAAGCUGUCAGACUUCUUCCUCCAGCAUAGCACAAAUUUUAAUUGGUGGUAUCUAGAACAGUUUGUAUGUGUGUGUGAAAAAUGGCAUCUGAUCAGUUUCCCCGCAGCCAGCAGAGGCAGCCCACUGCGGCUGCACCCUUACUGACCAGCUCUCAGUGGCCAACAGAUGCCUUCUUUUCCUGUGGAAAUAAAAUAUACGGGCAGGAGAAAGGACUUAUUUGGUAAUGUUACACUCCUCAGCUUCCUGCUCUGGGCUGUCUCAGCUGCAAAAUGUCAAGGGAAAAAAUAUCCCUCCAACUUGGAAUGAAUUCCAGACAGACCCUGAUGCCUGCAAAUUUGUUAGAGGAAGCCAAGUCCAGAGAAGCAGAACAUGAAGAAGGUUCAUUAUUUGACUUCAAGAGACGCUCAAAUAAUCAGACACUCUGGUAUUUAUGAUUUUCCCCGUUUCAGAUGGUCUGUCGUUCACAACAUUCCCCUCCCUUUACCGCUGAUUCUGAGCUCCUUUUUAAAUUAAACCUCAACAGUUAUAAAAAGACUCUCACAUUACUUGCAAGCCACAAGCAUUACCAGGAGACACUCUGUUCAUACAGGGCUGUUUAGGGCUGGAGAAGGGCAGCUCUUUUUGAUUCUUAGUCUGGGGAGGGCAGGCCAGGAAGUCAGACUCACUUCACCUUGACCAUGCCACACCAGUCCUCACCUAGCUCCCACGUCUGUGCCAAGACCUCCUGCCAUUCACAGUAUUAAGUACAAUCUUUAUUAAAAAGUGCUUAUUUACUAUCA